rnacentral:misc_RNA from 1 species
GUAGGGGAACCUGCGGCUGGAUCACCUCCUUUCUAAGGAAGCUGUGGAAUUGGUAAGACGCCCAACUUGAUUGGGAUGAACCUUCCCGUGCUUUUUAGAACAAUAGAUGGCACCAGUCAGGUGACCAUCGAAACGCAAUACGCCGACAGAGACUUUUGGUCCUUUCGGUAUGGCGCGAGCCGCCGUCUACGUUUCUCUUUCUUCAAAAGACAAGGACCACGCUUUGGUCGCUUGGGUGCCUUGUGGCGCCUGGCGGUCUUCGUGUUGUUCAACCCACUUUUUUAGUUCGGCCAGCUGUUCGUUUAACAAAGAGCGGCCGAAUGGGCCCGUAGCUCAGUUGGUUAGAGCACACGCUUGAUAAGCGUGGGGUCGGUAGUUCGAGUCUACCCGGGCCCACCAUGUUUUGUCCUGCCGCGCUGUUCGCACCUUCGGUGCUGCGCUCCGGAUGGGCCGCGCCACGAGGCGCGACGGGCUGGCGCCCUGUAAGGGUGCCUGUUCUGCAUGGUUUUGGUAUGGGUAUGGAUCGGAUGGUUUAAGCGUUGACGGAUCUCUUGGCAUUGCCUUGAGGUGCGAACCUGAAUGGGGCUGUAGCUCAGCUGGGAGAGCACCUGCUUUGCAAGCAGGGGGUCAGCGGUUCGAUCCCGCUCAGCUCCACCAAGGUUUUGGUGUUGAUGCGAGUGGAAAACAUCCUUGUCUUUGAAGAAAUAAAAGUUUGCAUCACUUCGAUGAAGUGCUGCCUGUUCUGCAAAAUUGUGAAGAGAAGAUUGAUCUGGAGGCUUCCAGGUGUGGGUUUUACCAUGUCCGAGCCCUUUCCCGAUGAACCUUUGAAGGCCUARCCGGCYUGAGAUUGGUGAGGGAUUGGAGGUAGGAAGGAAGCUUGUCACUCUGGAUCGUUCGUUGUUGGUCGCCUUCGGGUCACCUCUGAUGAACGGUCGGAUUACCGUUGCCUGACCGCGCGGUACCGGAUUUGAUCUCGAGAAGCUGGUCUUAAGACAAGCUGCAAGUGAGCUGCUCGGCGUAGCUCCAAUAAAGCAGACUUGUCGAACACGUCGAUGGCAUUGUCGAAUGAACCUGGUUGUAAAAGGUAACCUGGUUUUUGGGGUCUGGAUAUGCGGCUUGUCCGUAUGGUCAGGUUUGGAACCCCUUCGAGCGCAAGCGAGAAGGAUAGGAAUUCCAAACCCAAUAGAUGAUGAGCAUUGGCAAUGAGAACGAUUAAGUGUCGUAAGGGCAAUUGGUGGAUGCCUUGGCAUGCACAGGCGAUGAAGGACGUGAUACGCUGCGAAAAGCCGUGGGGAGCUGCGAAUGAGCUUUGAUCCAUG